UACGUAGGCAGCGAGCGUUGUUCGGAGUUACUGGGCGUACAGGGUGUGUAGGCGGUUCUUUAAGUUUGGGGGGAAAUCUCCCGGCUCAACCGGGAGGGUGCGUCGAAUACUGAGGGACUAGAGUACGGGAGAGGAAAGUGGAAUUCCUGGUGUAGCGGUGAAAUGCGUAGAUAUCUGGAGGAAUACCGGUGGCGAAGGCGGCAUCCUGGACCAUUACUGACGCUGAGGCGCGAAAGCUAGGGGAGCAAACGGG
rnacentral:rRNA from 1 species